UACGUAGGGUGCGAGCGUUGUCCGGAAUUAUUGGGCGUAAAGGGCUCGUAGGCGGCCAACUAAGUCAGACGUGAAAUCCCUCGGCUUAACCGGGGAACUGCGUCUGAUACUGGAUGGCUUGAAUCCGGGAGAGGGAUGCGGAAUUCCAGGUGUAGCGGUGAAAUGCGUAGAUAUCUGGAGGAACACCGGUGGCGAAGGCGGCCAUCUGGACGGAUACUGACGCUGAGACGCGAAAGCGUGGGUAGCAAACAGG
rnacentral:rRNA from 1 species